rnacentral:tRNA from 1 species
GCUUGUUGUACUCAGUCGGUAGAGCGUGAGACUCUUAAUCUCAGGGUCGUGGGUUCAAGCCCCACAUUGGGUG